rfam:Paramecium tetraurelia chromosome undetermined scaffold_95, whole genome shotgun sequence.
CCGAAAAUAGCUCAGUUGGUAGAGCGAGGGACUGUAGUGUUAUCCAGUUAUCCCCAGGUCGGUGGUUCAAAUCCGCCUUUUCGGA